CUGGAAGGUCCNUAAGCCGAAAGGGGCUCUGCCCGCCCGAGGAUGGGCCGGCGGCCGAUUAGGUAGUUGGUGGGGUAACGGCCCACCAAGCCCAUAAUCGGUACGGGCAGUGAGAGCUGGAGCCCGGAGAUGGACACUGAGACACGGGUCCAGGCCCUACGGGGCGCAGCAGGCGCGAAACCUCCGCAAUGCUCGAAAGAGCGACGGGGGGACCCCAAGUGCCGUGGUACAACCACGGCUUUUCCGGAGUGUAAGAAGCUCCGGGAAUAAGGGCUGGGCAAGGCCGGUGGCAGCCGCCGCGGUAAUACCGGCGGCCCGAGUGGUGGCCACUAUUAUUGGGCCUAAAGCGUCCGUAGCCGGGCUUGUAAGUCCCUGGCGAAAUCCCACGGCUCAACCGUGGGGCUUGCUGGGGAUACUGCAAGCCUUGGGACCGGGAGAGGCCGGGGGUACUCCUGGGGUAGGGGUGAAAUCCUAUAAUCCCAGGAGGACCGCCAGUGGCGAAGGCGCCCGGCUGGAACGGGUCCGACGGUGAGGGACGAAGGCCAGGGGAGCAAACCGGAUUAGAUACCCGGGUAGUCCUGGCUGUAAAGGAUGCGGGCUAGGUGUUGCUUGGACCUCGAGUCCAAGCAGUGCCGCAGGGAAGCCGUUAAGCCCG
rnacentral:rRNA from 1 species